ensembl:lncRNA
GUAUUUAUCUCUAAUCAACACUUUUAUUAAUCAAGGAAGGUGUGAGCUGAAGGCCACCACUUCUGAAAACAAACAUAUUUUAAAUUCCUUAGAGCUUGCAUGUACGUAUGUAUCUGUGUGUGUGUAUUUCUCUGUCUCCCUAGCUAUUUAUCAUGUCCGGUUGGACACAUUGUGCGAGCCCAGCUGCUCUUAUCUGGCAUGGGGUAGCAUAUUAAAAGGAAGAUUAAGAUUACCAUUUUGCUUUAUUUUGUUUCUCAAAGCUUGAUAUGCAUAACCAGAACUUGUGUGUGUGUGCAGAAUAACCGUUGUAGGCAGCUUUUGCUCGCAGUGUCUCCAGGCAGUAGGUAAGGCACAUCUGGAGCUUGCAGCAUCGUGGAGAUGGCUGCUCAAAUCCCAGGAGUACGGGUCGCGCUGGGAAUGGGGGCCCGGUAUCCAUGGUGAGAUUCCCUAUCUCACAGUGCCAGGUGUGUGCACGUGCGCUAUUUCUUGGAAAGGCCGUCCUUGGGGGAAGGAGGAAACCAAGAGAGAGGCUCAGCCUCACAAGGACACUUCCAAAUUGCCUGCUGCUCUGCCAGAUCCACAACUACAAGAAUGGCUGUGGUGACAAUCGCUUUCUUAUAAGGUCCUGCCCAAGAAAUCAGCCCCUUGCUCUACUGCCUCAUUCAAGUGGGGAGAGUUCGUUGUGCUUGCAGCCCAUUGAGCUGGAAGGAGCUGCUCUCUGUCUUAGACUUGCCCUGGACUGGCUCAAGGGUGCCUGCUCCCACAGCCUCCUCUGUUUCCAAAGGACUGUAUUGUAAAGAGAAGUGAAGGAUGAUAUUUCCAACUCAUAUGCCUUACAGAGAGAGUGACCAAGAGCCUUCUGCAUGAAGUAGCAUAUCUCCUCAGGCACAAAUGGGGAGAGAGCACUUUGGGUGAGACUCCUCAGCUGUUAUGGAAAACGAAGGAUCUCAGAGAUGUGUCUCCUUUUUCAAGGAACAAAACUGGGACCAUGCUCAGUUCUGCCAGAAAGAAGCAUGCAAAGUGAAAAAGCUCAGUGUAACAUAUCCAAGCUCUGGAGAGAAGUGGAAUUUUAAAUGCACCCCUAUGUUCCAUCCUCAGGUUUUCCCCAUAUGCAGGCUCCAGAUGGCCGCUUGCUCAGCACACUGGUUUUUGCAGCUCAGAGGUGUGUGUGUGGGUUAGGGAUGAAUGCCAUGAUCUUAAAAAGUAUGGGCCCAGCUGUACAUUUCCCUUGUCUACUUGAUGAGGUGAGGGAGAAGAACCCACAGUAAUCAGAGCAGCCCCAAGCCCUACAUGCCCUUCACAGAUGAUCCCUGCUGGUACCAGGCCCAUGAGAAGACUGGGCUUUUGUCCCUGUGUCAGAUUUGUUGAUGUAAAGUGCCUACCCAGCUCCUGGGCCAGGAGCUUUUAUCUCCACAGGACUCUCUGCUUCUCCAAGUAGAUGUAUCUGCUCUCCUGCCGUUAGCUCGAGGCUCUCUCAUAUGGCAAGCUCCAAGGCACAUACGUGCACCCGGCACAGCUUCUUUCUUGGAUCUGGUCCUUACUGUUCAGGGACAACAUGCCAUUUGCUCGAUGCACCUUGAGCUCUGCAGGUGAAUCAAGAGUGUGGAGCUGGCCUCUGCUUUCGUUCAGCAUCACAGAGAGACAGCCAUUCCCUGCAGACAUUGACACUCUGCUGUGCUAAAUGCACCAAAAAAAAAAAAAAAAAGGGCUUGAGAGCAAAGAGGACUUAAAACUGCAGGUUCGGGGCUUUUUUCCCAUUUAAAAUUUCAUAAAAUUUCUCUGCCAGCACUGAAUAAUUAUUUCAAAGGAAAAACUGAAAAAUGUAUUAUUUUAUAUCUUGUAAGUAAACAGAGAAAUGGCUCCAUGCUAUGUAUGGAGUGGCCUGAAGUCCUUGUUUUGCUUCUGUGGGACUUUGAGCAACUGCUGUGUUUAUUUUUUCCUGAUAAUCUCUCUAAUAGCAUGGAAAAAGAAGCACAGACUGUGCCUUUUUUCCUUUCUUUUUUGAGAAUUGAAAUAAUUUGUGUUUCUCUUCUGUGGAAUGAAUUUCCAAACCAUAAUACCGCACGUUGAGUGUAUCUGGAAAGGAUGCUGCCUUGUUCGAUGAACUGAAUUGUGCACACAGUUGGAGGCUCUGACAGUGCCAGCAUCAGUGAAUGCAAGUUGCAUAAAAAGAGGCAGCAUCAUUCAUGACACUAAUGAACAGUCCUUCCUCGUCUAUCAGAGAAAUCUUUCCCAGGGAUAACGAUUCUCCUAGCAUUUUCUUAGCCAUAAAAGAAGAGAUUGUGUUGGAUCUUUGGUUCUGCAUGAGACUAUCAGGAGGAUUCUUAGGCUGAGAACAGAAAUCAAUGUUUCUGUGAUACUGUAUUGGCUAAAUACUUAGACCAGAGAAAAAAGAUUUUGUUCUGACUGCACACUGAACCUCUUGUUUUGCUUUGCUGUUACAAGAUUGUGAAAAUAGUGUGAAAUUUAAGGGUGCAUGUUUGAUUCUGAGAAAGUCUGCCAGCAAGUCCUGGUCAUUUAUUGCAACAUGCUGUACCUGAUUCACCCAUAUAAUGCUACAGCUUUAAGUAACUGUAAGUUCAUUGAUUUCAGUGGAAUCUUGAGAGUAAAAGGGAAAAAAUGGUAAUUCAACUUUAAUGUAUUUCCUCAUUUUUCAUCAGGUAUUUAUUAGCCUUUAAGAUUCAUCCACUUUAAAUCUUUCUGAGUACUUGAAAAAAGUCUGCUGAGAUAUGAUCAAAACCAAUAUGAAUAGUAGAAGAGGCUCUGGGGAUCUAUUCUACAAAAUGACAAUUAGACAAAAUCUAAACUAGGAGUUUGCUUCUAACAUAGGCUGGGGAUAUGAUUAUUUCUUUGAAAUAGUACUUUUACUGAAAUAAAAGCUAAAACAUAGGUGCAGUUUUAUCAAAUGGUAUAUUUUGCCUUGUAUAGUUUUUUAAGAACUAUAGAGUAAAUAGAGGCUGUACUGGCACAUUAACUUAUUAUCAACAUGUCGUAGAACCAUCAUUAAGGUUGGAAAAGACAUCUGAGAGCAUAGAAUCAUAGAACCACCAACGUUGGAAAAGAUCUCCAACAUCAUCCAUUCCAACUGUCCACCUAUCACUUAUAUUUUCCACUAAACCACAUCCCUCAGUACAUCUUAAGUGUUUCUGAAUACCUCCAGGGGCAGUGACUCCACUACUUCCUUGGGCAGCCCAUUCCAGCACCUGACCACUCUUUCAGAGAAGCAGUAUUUCCUAACAUCCAGCCUGAAUCUCCCCUGGUGCAACUUGAGGCUAUUCCCUCUAGUCCCAUCUCUAGUUAAAUGGUAGAAGAGGCUGGUGCACACCUCACCACAGUCUCCCUUCAGGUAGUCGUAGAGAGCAAUAAGGUCUCCCUUCACCCUCCUCUUCUCCAGACUAAACAACCCCAGCUCCCUCAGCUGCUCCCCAUAGGACUUGUGCUCCAGACUCCUCAUGGCUUUGUUGCCCUUCUCUUAACAUGCUCCAGUGCUCUAGGAAAUCCAGGAAAACUGUGACUCCACCACUGUAGACUAGACCUCAAUCUACAGUUCCAGAUAUUUUAUUUCAUUUUAUAUGCCCCUUAAAUAUCCUGCACAUUGAUUCCUGCGCUUUGUUUGCUUUGCUGUCUAAAUUCAAAUGAUACUUAAUAGACUUCUGUCUUGUCCAGGUAUUUUGUGAAUGGUUCCAGCACCGUGAACUGAGAUUCUGAUGCAUCCUCAUUUGUAGGUGAUCGCUUGUGCAGUUUCAGUGGCUGAUGUGUUUGACCUUAGUUUUAAAUGCAUGUGUAAUAGAUUCUGAGGAAAUAAACUCAUGUAGAUAGAUUUGUCUUGGAGAUUGUGUUAAUGCUUGUGAUAGUGACCAACAUAAUGGGAUGAAGCAGAAAAAGAGAGCUUGAAGUUUGUUUUUAGGAUAGAGAGGAAAAACCAGAACUUUUACCAUUGACAGCACCAGUGACAGCAUGUAGUUACCUAUCAUCUAGCUUUUUCCACUUCCUCAGGACAAGGCAGCAUCUUCAACAGAGAUGGAUUUAAAUUAAAAAAAAAAAGAAAAAAAAAGAGAAAGAGAGAGCUCUAUGUUAUGACAGAAGAAUUUGAUGUGAGUCAUUUAAAGAUGAAUAUUUUAGGACUGUAUAUGAUUAGGUUAUAGGUCAUUUUAAAGUAAAUUUGUUACGUACUGUGCAUUAGUAUCAGGGACAAAGCUUUUGUCACUGGAGGAAACCUCCUUAAAUGACCAGAGCAAAUCCCUCACACUAGCGAAGUAUCUGUAAUUCCUGAUCUCCCACGCAUGACUGAUUUCCACAGGAAUGAAGCUUUUGUGAUCCAUGCACUAGCAAAAAUGUGCUACAGCUACAGUAAUUAAGUGGUUUAAACCUUCCAUCCUAUGUAGAUCCACUUUGAUUUCUUUCUUUCUAACCCUUCUCAUCAGUGGGCGCCAAAAAUUAACACUUUGGUAGGCCCAGGGAAAAUGAGGCUGUGUUUUCCUCAACUUUCUGCUGUAAAAUGAGCCCUGUUAUAAAAAAAACCCUGCUUAUUGGCAUUGAAUUUACAUU